GUGAGGAAUCUUCCACAAUGGGCGAAAGCCUGAUGGAGCAACGCCGCGUGAAGGAUGAAGGUCUUCGGAUUGUAAACUUCUUUUAUGAGUGAAGAAUAUGACGGUAACUCAUGAAUAAGCAUCGGCUAACUACGUGCCAGCAGCCGCGGUCAUACGUAGGGUGCAAGCAUUAUCCGGAGUGACUGGGCGUAAAGAGUUGCGUAGGCGGUUAUGUAAGCGAAUAGUGAAACCUGGUGGCUCAACCACACAGACUAUUAUUCGAACUGCAUAACUCGAGAAUGGUAGAGGUAACUGGAAUUUCUUGUGUAGGAGUGAAAUCCGUAGAUAUAAGAAGGAACACCAAUGGCGUAGGCAGGUUACUGGGCCAUUUCUGACGCUAAGGCACGAAAGCGUGGGGAGCGAACCGGAUUAGAAACCCCUGUAGUCC
rnacentral:rRNA from 1 species